UACGUAGGUGGCAAGCGUUGUUCGGAAUUAUUGGGCGUAAAGGGCGCGUAGGCGGUCUUGUAAGUCAGCUGUGAAAGCCCGGGGCUCAACCCCGGAGGGUCGGCUGAUACUGCAGGACUGGAGUACGGAAGAGGUAGCUGGAAUUCCCGGUGUAGCGGUGAAAUGCGUAGAUAUCUGGAGGAACACCGGUGGCGAAGGCGGCAUCCUGGACCGGCAUUGACGCUGAGGAGCGAAAGCCAGGGGAGCAAACGGG
rnacentral:rRNA from 1 species